AUUAGAAGAGAAAAAUGAGAUCUCCCUCCUCCUCCUCCUCGUUAAUAUCUCCAAAGAUCCUGGAGCCCUUGCCAAAAUUUUUCUGGUGACCAGGAUGACAUCUGCUGAGACAUUCCGCUGACUCCAGAGCCUGCAGCCUGGGAUCCUGGGAAAACGGGCCGAAGCCGGCAGAGGGUGACAAUUCUUUCCAAAGGCCGCUCUCCCAGAUCUCUAUGGUGCCUGAUCAGGAGAGGAAGGUUGGCUGGUUGUUGAGUCUCUAGGCCAGGGUCAAGGCUGAGCUCAACUGCACAGCCCAAGACGAAGAUUAAGUCUGGAUCUUCUCCCUGUGUCUACGUGGAGCAGGCAUCUAACCACAGCAUAAUCAUCUCCUGGCAAUGGUGAAGGAACAAGAGAAGAAACCCCGACCAUACGCUGAAUAGUCCCUGAGAUUUCCAAGGAACCAGGAAUGUUUGACAUCUAUAAAAUGUGCAAUGGAAUAUCUUUAGCAUUUUGAUGCUUAUUGCAGAUGAGGUCCUGUUAACUAACAGUUCUACCCCCACAAUGCCUCAAAACUCAAACACUCCAGGAGGUCACGUGAGGAUUCUUCCUGGUCUGCAGCAUCCUGGAAUCAAUCUGAAUUCCCUGAAGAUCAGUACAUGCUAGCACUCUACUCCUCCAAUACUCAGUUUGCUUCUCAACCUAGACCAAAAUUUCCAACUUGAGUAUUCACUGAGGAUGAGACACACUCUCUCUCUUUCUCUUCAUGCUAUGCAGACCUAAAGAAAAAUAAAGGAUUAGGGUCCAGUCUAAUCUGAAUAUUCUACACAGAGAUGAGAUUUAAGAAAUUGUCAUCAUUUUAUACAACUAGUAAUAUGAAAGACUUCAAUGCAUGGCAAGGCCCAGUGGUGUAGCCUGGCUCUAGAGGCAAAACAGAGAAACCAGUUGUCCCUUUGACACUACUUUGAAGAACAUCUUUCUCUCCAAGUUAGCCAAGUCCUCUCCAUGUCACUGCCAACCCCUGCCUUCAGGCUCUAUCUGAAUCACUUUCCUUUCUGGUUAAAUCUGUGGAUUCCUGCGGGGAGAAGAGUGGCUCCCACUGGCUCAGGACUAUUUCUCCAGGUUAUAUAUGUCACAAUUUUCCAUGCCUUUAACAAGACUCAAUUAAAAAUUAAUCGGUCCAGCAUGGCAAUUUGAGAGGUAAUUGUUUCUUUUCCUGACUCCAUGGCCAUAGGCAAAAAGCACACCCAGAACCUAAAUUAAUCAUCUAAUUGGGAUUUUUCCAUACUCCAGCCAGUCAGCCUUCCAGGGGUCCCAGCAAUGUGCUGCCUGACCUCAGUAAUUAGAUUGCCCCAGUGUCCACUCUGUGGGCUUUCUGCCUUACUUUCCCUUCCAAGCCCCUUCAGUAAAAUGGAAAAUAGCCAUAUAGGCUGUUUACCUGGGCCCUCUUCAAUGACCAACAGCCUUUAUCUUCAGAAGAGGAAAUACUGGAAAUAGGGGCAGGUUAAUAUAUUCAACAUGGUUUGUAAUAGCAGAAGUCAAUUUCAGCCUAACAGCAAUCUUGGAUUGGUGAAAUAAAAGUAUAGUCUUUUCAUAUAACAUGUAGCAAUGCAGCUAAAAAAGCAGUGAGGAAAUGCUAUGAUUUCAUAGGUCUUUAGGUCAAACCAUACACAUUCUCACUUAACAUGUACAGCAGUGCUGCAAGUUGUGAAUGUAAUUAUCUCUUUUUUUCUUUUUUUUUAAACAGAUGAAUAUAUUGAGCAGGAAAAGAAACUAGGUUAAUACCAGGGGUAUUUGUGUUGAUUCAUAGUAGCUAACACACACAUUACCUUUAUAGUUUUGACAGAAGACACACAUUUUGUUGACUCUUCUGUAAUUUAAGGUUAAUAGCAUUUUUUUUGUUUCUCUAGAAAAAGAACAUAAAAGCCUAUAUUUUAUUGUUCUAUAUUUUAAACCCUGGCAUGAGUUUUAUAUUUUCCUAAAGAGAUGGUAUAAAGGAGUCUAAGUAUCUUUUUUUCCUUAAGUUUCUACCUGCAAAAAAUUAAUUGAAAUGUUUCACCAUAUCUUUCCCAUAGAUUUAUCCAUCAUACACUAAUGACCAUAAAUUAAAAAAAAAAAAAAAGAUUUGGAACUAUAUUUAAGUGGAAGAUAAUUCCUUCCAUAGUGGAUAUUCAGAAGACCAGCCAAUGUUUGAGACUCUUAAAAUGGGACUUAAGUUCUCUCUCCUCCAUGACCAUAAACAUUUAUCUUCAUCAUGCAGUG